rnacentral:rRNA from 1 species
CACGUAGGGGGCAAGCGUUGUCCGGAUUUAUUGGGCGUAAAGAGCUCGUAGGCGGUUCGGCAAGUCGGGUGUGAAACCCCCAGGCUCAACCUGGGGACGCCACCCGAUACUGCUGUGACUUGAGUCCGGUAGGGGAGCGUGGAAUUCCUGGUGUAGCGGUGGAAUGCGCAGAUAUCAGGAGGAACACCGGUGGCGAAGGCGGGUCUCUGGGCAGUAACUGACGCUGAGGAGCGAAAGCGUGGGGAGCGAACAGG